rnacentral:rRNA from 1 species
UACGGGGGGGGGCAAGCGUUGUUCGGAAUUACUGGGCGUAAAGGGCUCGUAGGCGGCCAACUAAGUCAGACGUGAAAUCCCUCGGCUUAACCGGGGAACUGCGUCUGAUACUGGAUGGCUUGAGAUUGGGAGAGGGAUGCGGAAUUCCAGGUGUAGCGGUGAAAUGCGUAGAUAUCUGGAGGAACACCGGUGGCGAAGGCGGCAUCCUGGACCAACACUGACGCUGAGUGAGCGAAAGCCAGGGGAGCAAACGGG